rnacentral:rRNA from 1 species
ACGCUGAAGCCCAGCUUGCUGGGUGGAUGAGUGGCGAACGGGUGAGUAACACGUGAGUAACCUGCCCCCUUCUUUGGGAUAACGCCCGGAAACGGGUGCUAAUACUGGAUAUUCACUGGCCUUCGCAUGGGGGUUGGUGGAAAGGUUUUUUCUGGUGGGGGAUGGGCUCGCGGCCUAUCAGCUUGUUGGUGGGGUGAUGGCCUACCAAGGCUUUGACGGGUAGCCGGCCUGAGAGGGUGACCGGUCACAUUGGGACUGAGAUACGGCCCAGACUCCUACGGGAGGCAGCAGUGGGGAAUAUUGCACAAUGGGCGAAAGCCUGAUGCAGCGACGCCGCGUGAGGGAUGACGGCCUUCGGGUUGUAAACCUCUUUCGCUCAUGGUCAAGCCGCAGCUUUGGGUUGUGGUGAGGGUAGUGGGUAAAGAAGCGCCGGCUAACUACGUGCCAGCAGCCGCGGUAAUACGUAGGGCGCGAGCGUUGUCCGGAAUUAUUGGGCGUAAAGGGCUUGUAGGCGGUUGGUCGCGUCUGCCGUGAAAUCCUCUGGCUUAACUGGGGGCGUGCGGUGGGUACGGGCUGACUUGAGUGCGGUAGGGGAGACUGGAACUCCUGGUGUAGCGGUGGAAUGCGCAGAUAUCAGGAAGAACACCGGUGGCGAAGGCGGGUCUCUGGGCCGUUACUGACGCUGAGGAGCGAAAGCGUGGGGAGCGAACAGGAUUAGAUACCCUGGUAGUCCACGCUGUAAACGUUGGGCACUAGGUGUGGGGGCCACCCGUGGUUUCUGCG